rnacentral:rRNA from 1 species
GAUGAACGCUGACAGAAUGCUUAACACAUGCAAGUCUUUGGCGAAGCUGUGCUUGCACAGCCUAGCCAAGGCGGACGGGUGAGUAACGCGUAAGGAACUUGCCCUGCAGUCAGGGAUAACAGACGGAAACGACUGAUAAGACCUGGUAAAGUCAGGCGGACUCAUGUCCAGCCUGAUGAAAGGAGAUGCUGCAGGAGAGCCUUGCGUCCUAUUAGCUUGUUGGUGGGGUAACGGCCCACCAAGGCGAUGAUAGGUAGCCGGCCUGAGAGGGUGGACGGCCACAAGGGGACUGAGAUACGGCCCUUACUCCUACGGGAGGCAGCAGUGGGGAAUAUUGGACAAUGGGGGCAACCCUGAUCCAGCAAUUCUGUGUGCACGAUGAAGGUUUUCGGAUUGUAAAGUGCUUUCAGCAGGGAAGAAAAAAAUGACGGUACCUGCAGAAGAAGCGACGGCUAAAUACGUG